rnacentral:rRNA from 1 species
CAGCCGCCGCGGGAAUACGUAGGUGGCAAGCGUUGUCCGGGAUUAUUGGGCGUAAAGGGCUCGCAGGCGGUUUCUUAAGUCUGAUGUGAAAGCCCCCGGCUCAACCGGGGAGGGUCAUUGGAAACUGGGAAACUUGAGUGCAGAAGAGGAGAGUGGAAUUCCACGUGUAGCGGUGAAAUGCGUAGAGAUGUGGAGGAACACCAGUGGCGAAGGCGACUCUCUGGUCUGUAACUGACGCUGAGGAGCGAAAGCGUGGGGAGCGAACGGGAUUAGAUACCCGUGUAGUCCCUGUCUCUUAUAC